rnacentral:rRNA from 1 species
GACGAACGCUGGCGGCGUGCUUAACACAUGCAAGUCGAACGGAAAGGCCCUGCUUUUGUGGGUUGCUCGAUUGCCGAACGGGUGAGUAACACGUGAGUAACCUGCCCUUGACUUUGGGAUAACUUCAGGAAACUGGGGCUAAUACCGGAUAGGAGCUCCUGCUGCAUGUUGGGGGUUGGAAAGUGUCGGCGGUUGGGGAUGGACUCGCGGCUUAUGAGCUUGUUGGUGUGGUAGUGGCUUACCAAGGCUUUGACGGGUAGCCGGCCUGAGAGGGUGACCGGCGACAUGGGGACUGAGAUACGGCCCAGACUCCUACGGGAGGCAGCAGUGGGGAAUAUUGCACAAUGGGCGGAAGCCUGAUGCAGCAACGCCGCGUGCGGGAUGACGGCCUUCGGGUUGUAAACCGAUUUCGCAUGUGACGAAGCGUGAGUGACGGUAAUGGGUAAAGAAGCACCGGCUAACUACGUG